rnacentral:lncRNA from 1 species
AGAAGGCUGAGGAAAAGGCAGCACACCCAGCGACGCAAAGAUGCUGCUGUCAGAUGUUCUGUUCAUCCUCCUUUUCAUUUGCUGCUGUCCAUCCCUCCAUUCCUGACGUUUUCGGACACCAGCUCCUGCCAGCUGGGAGCACAAGGAGACCAGGAUUACUAUUAGAUUAGCGAAUCGGGGAGUCCAGAGAGCUGAGGUAUGUGGAUUUUGGCAAAGACUCUCAAGGCACUGCGUAAACAAGAUGGAGAAAUGUGAAUUGGAAAUAUCACCUCACAACCCUGGCCGUGAGGACCACCUGAC